rnacentral:rRNA from 1 species
GAUGAACGCUGGCGGCGUGCUUAAUACAUGCAAGUCGAACGGAGACAAUAGCAAUAUUGUCUUAGUGGCGAACGGGUGAGUAACGCGUUGGUGACCUGCCCCGAAGAGGGGGAUAACAGUCCGAAAGGAUUGCUAAUACCCCAUGUGGUCAUAAGGAUUAGAUGCCUAAUGACUAAACGGAUUUAUUCGCUUCGGGAGGGGCCUGCGUCCCAUCAGCUAGUUGGUAAGGUAACGGCUUACCAAGGCGAUGACGGGUAGGGGACCUGAGAGGGUGGCCCCCCACAAUGGAACUGAAACACGGUCCAUACACCUACGGGUGGCAG